rnacentral:misc_RNA from 1 species
AGGGAUCAUUACACAAUACAAUAUGAAGGCCGUACGCGGCUGGAUUAUUUUAUUACCCUUGUCUUUUGCGCACUUGUUGUUUCCUGGGCGGGUUCGCCCGCCACCAGGACCACACCAUAAACCUUUUUUAUGCAGUUGCAAUCAGCGUCAGUACAACAAAUGUAAAUCAUUUACAACUUUCAACAACGGAUCUCUUGGUUCUG